GAGUUUGAUCCUGGCUCAGAUUGAACGCUGGCGGCAUGCUUUACACAUGCAAGUCGAACGGUAACGCGGGGGCAACCCUGGCGACGAGUGGCGAACGGGUGAGUAAUACAUCGGAACGUGCCCGGUAGUGGGGGAUAGCCCGGCGAAAGCCGGAUUAAUACCGCAUACGACCUACGGGUGAAAGCGGGGGAUCGCAAGACCUCGCGCUAUUGGAGCGGCCGAUGGCAGAUUAGCUUGUUGGUGAGGUAAAAGCUCACCAAGGCGACGAUCUGUAGCUGGUCUGAGAGGACGACCAGCCACACUGGGACUGAGACACGGCCCAGACUCCUACGGGAGGCAGCAGUGGGGAAUUUUGGACAAUGGGCGCAAGCCUGAUCCAGCAAUGCCGCGUGUGUGAUGAAGGCCUUCGGGUUGUAAAGCACUUUUGGUGGGAACGAAACGGUCCGGGCCAAUACCCUGGACUACUGACGGUACCCGCAGAAUAAGCACCGGCUAACUACGUGCCAGCAGCCGCGGUAAUACGUAGGGUGCAAGCGUUAAUCGGAAUUACUGGGCGUAAAGCGUGCGCAGGCGGUUUUGUAAGACCGAUGUGAAAUCCCCGGGCUUAACCUGGGGAACUGCAUUGGUGACUGCAAGGCUUGAGUGUGUCAUA
rnacentral:rRNA from 1 species